GCCAUGGUGGCUUAGUGGUUAAGCAUUUGGCUGCUAACCGAAAGGUUGGCAGUUUGAACCCACCAGAGUU
rnacentral:tRNA from 1 species